GUGGGGAAUAUUGGACAAUGGGCGCAAGCCUGAUCCAGCAAUGCCGCGUGCAGGAAGAAGGCCUUCGGGUUGUAAACUGCUUUUGUACGGAACGAAAAGGCUCUGGUUAAUACCUGGGGCUCAUGACGGUACCGUAAGAAUAAGCACCGGCUAACUACGUGCCAGCAGCCGCGGUAAUACGUAGGGUGCAAGCGUUAAUCGGAAUUACUGGGCGUAAAGCGUGCGCAGGCGGUUUUGUAAGACAGACGUGAAAUCCCCGGGCUCAACCUGGGAAUGGCGUUUGUGACUGCAAAGCUGGAGUGCGGCAGAGGGGGAUGGAAUUCCGCGUGUAGCAGUGAAAUGCGUAGAUAUGCGGAGGAACACCGAUGGCGAAGGCAAUCCCCUGGGCCUGCACUGACGCUCAUGCACGAAAGCGUGGGGAGCAAACAGGAUUAGAUACCCCAGUAGUCC
rnacentral:rRNA from 1 species